rnacentral:rRNA from 1 species
UGGAUGCAGUAUACAUACAGGGCAUUGUCUUGUAAUUGGAAUGAUGGUGACGUAAAAUCUCACCAGAGUAACAAUUGGAGGGCAAGUCUGGUGCCAGCAGCCGCGGUAAUUCCAGCUCCAAUAGCGUAUAUUAAACUUGUUGCAGUUAAAAAGCUCGUAGUUGAAUUUCUGCGUUGCCCGACUCGGCUACUUGCCUUGUCUGGUUUCGCUUUUGGGGUUUUCCCCUUUUUACUUUGAGAAAAUUAGAGUGUUUCAAGCAGACUUGUGUCUUGAAUACUUCAGCAUGGAAUAAUAAAGUAGGACUUUGGUUCUAUUUUGUUGGUUUGUGAACCUUAGUAAUGGUUAAUAGGAACGGUUGGGGGCAUCC